AAACGCCCCAUCCUCGCCCUAGUAAAAGGGGAAGAGUCCCGAACGUGUACGAGGAGGAAAGCCUAAUUUGAAUCCGGUGCAUGCACACAGAUACACCCAGUUUUCGUGACAUGUUUUUACUUUAUUUUGCCACAGGAGUUUGAGAAAAUGUGAGCUGGUUUGUGGGUAGAAAAACAAAAACAACGAGAGGAUUGACGCGUUGGUUUGGGAAAAAAAAAAAAAUAGUGAGCAUGGAGGAUCCCCAGGGUUCAACACUCCCAAUAACACCAGAGGAAGUCAGAUUUCAAUGAGCUUAAAUAAGCUCCAGCAUAUAUUUGAAUGAGGAAGUUUAAUUAUGAUAACUUUUUGUGAUGAAAAACAAAAAUAUUCAUCAACUGAUUAAAUCCUGAAGAUCUACCUAAUAAAAAUGCUACCAAUAACCUAUUUGGAGGGAAGUGCAGCAUAUUCUGAUGAACAAGUGAUUUGCUUUUUGUUGAAUUUGGACCCUCUUUCAACAGUUUUGACACAUUUAAGUUACCUUUACUUUUAAAAGGUAUAUGCUUUAAAAAGCGCGCUGAGGUUAUGCGUAAAAAACUAUAUUUGGGGAUGGAACAGACUUAUUAUUCUUUGCACAUUACAUUGAAUUUACCAAAUUAUAUAAUUUAAUGACUUUUUUUAAAAUUUCCCUAUAAAAUAGCACGUGCUCACCCCAUGAUAUGUAGUUUAGACGCUUCAUAAUCAGAGCGAUGUGACCAAGAAUUGAUGUGCUAUUAGAUGCGUUCUCCUGUCGCGCAGCCUGCGGUGGCCCCAGAACUGGGUCCAUAUCCCUUUAAAAGAAAUCAGUGAUGCAAACAAACUGUUUUGUGCGCGCUGCUCGGGACCCGAAGUCGCGCCAAAGACAAAACUUUGAGUAACUUUGCUGACCACCUCCAAAGACGAGUUUUCUGAGGUUACUCCAUCAGGCAGCGAGGACGGCGAUUUGGAUUCGGGUCUGUUCACACAAGGAGGGAUCCACUGAAAGAGCGGCGUGGAGAUUCCUAGAAUCGGUCGACUUCAGAACAGAUAAUGUGAUGGAUCUUGAUUCAUUCCAUUACCUUUCAGCGCUAUCGCCCUGGUUGAUUUUUACACAGUCUGAUCUGAGCUGUAAGAUGCAGUAGAACGAAGAGGAGGAAAGCAACACAGAUUUGGCUGAGCAUGCUGACUGAACUAAUUGAUCCUCCACUCCCCCAUGAUCAUCACAACAGUGGCUGUUGUUUAUCCUUCUAAAGUUGAUUCUGUUUUUGAUUUUGUUUUUGUUUACUUUUCAGUGAUUUAUGAUGAAGCAUAGCAGAAAAAGUCAGAACAGCGGUCAGUAAAGGGCAUUAUUGGAAAGAAGGUGUGAACUGAUCAUUUACCCUGCAGACAGGGGUGCCUAGCAAAGGCAAAGAGCAGCCAGAGACUGCCAUUUGAAUGGGAUCUGAGAGGUAAUUUGAUCUAAAAUGGACUCCAGCCAUUCAACCCCCCACCCCGCCCACCCCUCCCAUGGCAUCCACUGUAAUUCAUUAUUCCUGGCCAGCAGAGGCAAUGAGCGAGGGCAAAGGAGAGGAGUUGGACUCUGCUCUGGUGUAAUGAAGACUCAGUAGACCUAAACGCCCUCCUUCCUUCUCUCCCUUUCUCCCUCCAUCACUUAUACAUACACGCAAUCUUUCAUUAUCUAUUAGAUAGAGCAACGCAUUAUUGCUGCUGAAGACCUUUUGGCAGAGAAAUAAGAAUGUGCAAGGAUUUUCUUCAUCCUGAAUCCAUUUUAUUGACCUUUUCCAUCAUGUAUGGGGCUCGCGAGGCCUGUGCUCUGCAAUGCAAAGAAAAUAUUCUGACCACAAUACUUUUGUCACCCCUUUAUAACGCUUUUAUUGAAAUGCAAAAAUGUAUUUUCGUCAUGCUAAAUUGAAGAUGUGUGUUUUUUGUAAGUUUUCAAUUCAAGUUUGUCACUCUCACAAGCAUUUAGGAGUUUGUUUUCUUACAUCAUAGAUGAAGAAACACUCCUUGCAUGACCUGUCAUAGCGAAACACUUGUAUUAUCAUAAAAUGUCACAGAAAUUCUGGGUUUUGAAGCUUUUUUUUUUUUUAAACCAGAAGACAUUUCAGUUUUCUGUCCUUCCACUAGGGGUCCGCAGAUGUCAUGUCCAGAAGGGCUGAAAGGGAUAAACACUGUCAUCUGGUGGUAACUAGAAAGACAAUUUCCUCAUUCUGAAAGGAGGCAAAGCUUCAUCCUUUCUACUGGGGCGGCUCUGGGAAACUUUUAAGAAACUUUUAUUUUAUAUACAAAACAAAUAUGUUCUACAUAGAUGUAAGGUGAAUGUAUGAAAAUCAGUCCACUCUACAGGAAUCCUUACAAUGUAAAACAUAAAGCGGUGAAAAUAAAGGUUGUGAGAGAACAUUAAUUCAUUUUUUUUAUAGUUGUUUGUGAACCUUUCGAGUAACUUGAAUGGAUUAACGUGGGAAAUUUAUAAAGUAGUUAUUUUUCAAAGUUAAUCCAGUAUAUCUGCUGGUAAUUCUUUAUAUAAAUGUAUGAAAUUGGUUAAAUUGUCACAUUAUUUUACAACCAGAAAUAUUAAACGGCAUUUAAAACCAUUUUAGAUACAAUGUGCUUUUUUCUUAAUCAUCUGUGUUAUUUAAUUGUUUUUUUUUGUUUGUUUAUUUUGUCAUUUUAA